rnacentral:rRNA from 1 species
GACGAACGCUGGCGGCGUGCUUAACACAUGCAAGUCGAACGAUGAACCCGGAGCUUGCUCCGGCGGAUUAGUGGCGAACGGGUGAGUAACACGUGAGUAACCUGCCCUUGACUCUGGGAUAACUGCGGGAAACUGUAGCUAAUACCGGAUACGACCCUCGGCGGCAUCGCCAGGGGGUGGAAAGAAUUUCGGUCAAGGAUGGACUCGCGGCCUAUCAGCUGGUUGGUGCGGUAACGGCUCACCAAGGCGACGACGGGUAGGGGACGUGAGAGCGUGACCCCCAACGAUGGAACUGAGACACGGUCCAUACACCUACGGGUGGCAGUAGCCGAGAAUAUUCGACAAUGGGCGAAAGCCUGAUCGAGCGACGCCGCGUGGAGGAAGAAGGCCCUUGGGUCGUAAACUCCUUUUACUAGGGAAGAACAAUGACGGUACCUAGAGAAUAAGAGGUUGCCAACUCUGUGCCAGCAGCCGCCGUAA